rnacentral:lncRNA from 1 species
UAGGCGAGUCGGUGAUUCAUCUAAUUGAUCAUCUGCCUGGAUAACGUUCCUUUGGGGACACUGACUUGCCACCACUGACCCUGUAAAACAGGUACAUGAGCACCUUCUACAUCUACUAGAGUACUUAAAUCACAAUAUUUUAUUGAAAAAUUAGUUUCCUAACACUUCCAUUUUAAAAAAGAAAACUCUUAAAUAAAUAAACAUACAUCUAAACAUAAAAGUUCAUGCAUGUAAAGGAAACAACUAAGUUCUGCCUCUCCAUUAAAUCCUUGACAAUGAAGAGGCUUUAGAAGUAGAGAUAUUCUUUGUACUUACUAUAUUAAAUACAUAAUACAAAUGAAGAUAUUUAUGAUCAAUUGGGAUAGCCUUGUUUAGACAAAGCUUAUAUAAAGUGGAUUGUGCUGGUUAGACUUCAUGUUUCCUAAUCAAGAAGAAACUUCAAAUCAGUGGCUUUCGUAACAAACAAACAUAAAAGGUUCUCCUAUUAUGAUCCGUUUGUCUCUACUGACUACCAUAAUUCUUUCAUAUUUGGUUUUAGAAAAACAAGGGAGGUUCUAUAGCCCAUUUAUAUUGUAGGAACGAAGAAAAGAAAAACUCUCCUAGUGAAUCACCUUAGAUAUUAGGCCUAGGGCUUAAUCGACAUACACUCCGGAUGUGUUUGGUACAAUGGCAGUUAUUCCAUAAAAGUACUUCCAUAAGGAAGUCAUUUUCUGGUGUUUGGUUGAUAUUUCCAUCAAAUGGGGGAAAAUGACUUUCUCAUUGUGUUGUAUUCCUAAUUUCGUUGAAUAUCUCCUGUAAUAGUGUCAUUGGCUUCUAACAGGUACUGCAAUACUUCUACACACAAUGCAACACUGAGGAAUAGUUUUGCCUUUUUCAAGAAGAUGUCAAUCUUCUUAUCAGACAAAAGAUGUCAAUCUACAUGCGAUCUCAGUGCAUAAAGCCUUCAUGAGAAAGUUAAGAAUGUCUUAUGAGAUUUGACUUAAUCUACCAAAAGGCAGCAUCUUGAGAACGAAGAGUGUGUUUGACUUAAACAAAGUUGUGCAUGCAGAUCAGUGGAAAAAACUAAGUGUCGGCUAAACCUAACAAAAGGCAGCAUCUUGAGAAUGAAGAAUGUGUUUGACUUUACAAUGUUAUGCAUUUGGAACGCACAGAUGAGUGAAGAAAUUAAGUGUUGGUUAUGCCUCUGUCUUAACCCCCUAGAUACGGUAAAUGCUUCCACUUUACCAGUCCGUAUAAUGCAGGUGGUCUUACACAUUGGACUGACCAGUUCUUUUUCCUACACUCUAAUACAACAAAUAAUAGCAAUACUUUCAAAACUUAGCUAUCUUAAUAACGAAAAGUUUAGUUUUUGAUAAGUAAAAAUACUAGUGAUAAGAAUAACCAAGUACUAUGUCUGGUUCUUGCUAAGUUAUUCCGAAAAGAAGACAAAAAUUGUGUCAGUCAACUAGCUAAAUUUUAGAAUCCUGACAAGCUAAGAAUGAUAAAAGAAUUUCUCAAAAUAGAGAAAAGUAGAGAAUUGUGCCUUAUAAGGGGGAAAAAGUCACUCACCACACAUUACUGUUGACAAGAGGAAUGACGGUAUGCAAGUGCCAUGCCUUCUUACCCCUGGCUGGAUGCCAUAAGAAUCUAACCCGACGGUGCUAUAAGAUGUAGCUGAUGGCCUUUGCUAAUCAUCAUUUCGGGAAAGGCAUUGCCCAGAGUCCAGCUUGCUUACAUAGUUUGUGAUCACAUCAAAUGCUCAGAGGAAAAAUGGAUUUUCACCAGCUUCAUGUUGUAAAGCCAUUAUGUUGAGAUAAUAGAUAGUAAUAAACUUCUCUGCUAUAAAAUGCCUCUGAUUUCCUAUACAUGGUCAGAUCUAAAAGAACCAGGUUUUAACUAAUUUUCAACGAUUUUGAACCUAAUCCUUGGUUCAGAGAAGGGAUCUUAAAUCCU